CCCGGCAUUGCUGUUAACCCAUUGGAUGGCUUCUCUGCUUCCAGAAAAAUAAGACUGUCUGUCCUGCCACCUAGCACCACGGAGACUAUCCCCGAAGCUGGUUUUCCUGCUACUAGCCCUGCCAUCUGCGGUUCUGCGGCUCUUGAGAAAUCAGACCUGAAUACCCCCAAAGAGGCCUGGCCUUCCUAGGAGAUCUAAGAACCUUCUCGGCCUAGGCUGGGUUGCCAGCGCCCUCUCGUGAGCAGAUCUGACCCGUCACAGAGCCAGGAAAUGACGUCGUCAGGAAAUUGCAAAAUCAAAAUAGCAACGAGGCAAGCACCUAAAUAUUAAGGGUUGACCUUGAUCAGGGCCUUGGAUGCCGACCUGCAGGCCGCACGAGGCUUACCCCCUCCACCCUUGCAGCACCCCCAUGGAGGGAGCCGUGCUACUUCUGCCAUUUUAGAGAUCCCUUGUCCAAGGCCGCCCAGCUCCCACCCAAGCCCUGAACUCAGGCAGCGGGAUUCCAAGGCGUCUUCAGAACUCACCACUACCGUGUCCCAUCAGAGGAAAAUGACUUUAAGAGGCCAUAGAGUUCUUUUCUUCAUGGAGCGACUCAAAGGACUAAUGUUGCAGGGAACUCACUUCUGGAAACACCGUUCUAGCUCAUUGAUGCUCGGCUUGUAGGCGAGGAAAUGAAGACCCAGGGAGCUAGUGGACCCGGGGACUCAGACACUCGUCAAAAGAAAGACCAGCUCAUGACUGACCCCACCGUCAAGGAACCUUUGGAAUGGGGGCAGGUUCCAUCUACUGAGGCUGAUGUGAUGUGGAAUCAGGAUCAGCCCCGUCUCAGAACGCGCUCUGUAAUGACUGGAAAGACAGAAAAAACCAACUCUUCCUUUUCAAAAGUGAGCUGGAAACACCUGAUUUUGGUCGCCUUGCUGGGCCUGCUUCUUUGCGGGAGGCUCGUCAUGUGUGGAACUCAAAGCGAUGCUGCCAUCUGCUGUAGAAGUGGAGGAUUUCCCCCUCUCUUUCCUAAACAAUUUAACAGUUGUAGAAAUAAAGGAGA
rnacentral:lncRNA from 1 species